GGCGAUUUUCGGUCCGUUGACUAAGAUAAAGUGUAGUAUCUUUUCCUAUCAGUUUACGAUCCGAUACUUCCUCUGUUCGAGAACAUAUAUUGAUUGGAUUUUUUCGGAACGGGGGUCUAUUUUGGAGCUCGUUUCAGUCUCCCUAGGCGUCUGACUGAUAGGGCAGUGUCUGCUGGUUCAGUGCAUACCAC